AUUGAAAGGUGAAUUUUCAGAGGAGAUCAGCAUAUUACAAACCUGCGUGGAAGAAGAAGAAGAAGAGAGAGAGAUAGGGAGACGGAGACGAUGAAAACACGAGAGACCGCAAAGGAUGACACGUGCCCACAAGGACUUGAUAUGGUAUAAGGACGCCCGAUAAUGGUGCUCUUAUGUUCCAGGCCCAGCUACUUCUUCCCCUGCCUCUCACCAUUAUCGUCAUUUCAGCUAUCCGCAACUCAACCAACCGACGGAGUGAAACCUCACCGUUAUCGUCAGAGAAACCUCAGAUAAAUGCUUCUUCUUUGCUUUAACACUAUUUAAUUACGAUUCUCAGUUCUGUCUUUCAAUCGUAGCUCCCACUACGUGAUCAUUAAUUUUCAUUCCCCAGCUUCUCUGUUAUUACGAUUUUUCUAAUCUAUAAAUAGGAAGCAAGUUUAAGAAAGCAAUGAAAAGUUAUUUACGACAUGCUAUUCCUCGACAAGGUAUAUCCCGGCAGCAGUGUUUUAAUUUUUACAUUUGUGAGAAACUAAUUUUCAACCAGCGCCACCAGCAAUCAUCUCCCACCAUCGGACAUGUGUCGCCUCUUUGUAUCUAUAUCUUUAGGUGAAGGAGAUUGUUUGAUUAGUUUUUGUGAAAACUUAAGAUUAGUGUGUUAAUCUUUAGAAGCCUCCAAAUUUUAUUUUCUAAAUUAUGCUGACUAGGUGUUCUUUGUUGCGAGGAUCACGACGUCUAGAUCAGUUUCAUUAUCAACUUAUGUAGAAACUGAUUUACCCAUUGUGGCACUUAGAACUAUAUCUCUUUUAUUUUAUGAAACUUGAGAGUUCUCUACACAUGCAUUCAUUUUUAUUAAUUUCUUUAACGUGUGUUGCAGAUAUCAUCACCACAUGAAGGUCAUCAAUGGACAGUCUCUCAGCAAACGCCCGGUCUUGGACGGAGUCAGCAUUCCCACCUACAGCCAAAAGAGAUAUGAUUACAUAUUAGCACCAGCCAUAACAUGUAUAUGUCAUUAACUGUCUCACAAUUAUAAUUGGCUAUUUCAGGGGACCUCUGAUUAACGUCUACCUUUGGAACCAGGCUGCUCAUGAGUUGUACAACAAGUUCAACGAAUGUCUCGCCAGUCCUACUGUUCUAAUAGUAACAGCAUUUAACACUAAACGUACAGGAGGCGAACCGGAGGUGCUAAGCAAAGGAGAGCAAGUGUCAGCUGAAGGAACGCUGUUGGUUGCCCACUUCCCUUAAAAACUAAUCAAAAAGAAGUCUCUUGGUUUUCCUAGAAAAAAAAAGAAGUCUCUUGGUUUUGCUCAAGUGCUUUAUUUCUAAAUGUUUCCCCAAUCUUCUGGAAAUGCUUCUAUAUUUUGUUCGCUUAGAAUCAAAUGUAGACGAAGGUAACAAACCAAAGUGGAGAUCCUUACUAUUGGAGUGAUCUUUUCCUCCUUCUUCAGCAAUAGAUGACGUCGACCAAGACAAGGGGUGAUUUACAUCCCCUGCACCGACUGCCAUGCUAAUGCUAUCAUAGGGACAACUUCAUUGAUGUGUCCAAAAUGCAGAGAUGUCAACGUGACUGGAGUUGAAAUGUACCGUGGUGAAAUAUCUGUCAACGACAAUGGCGGGAAGGAAAAUUUUGUGCUCCUUGGUGAUACUGGUCCUGAGCUAACAGGGAGGCAGACAACAGAGCUUAUUGACAACUACUUGGAGGCUAAUGGAGACAUGUGUGCCAACCAUGAGAUGCCAACUCCACAAUGUCUGGUGGAAGUCUCCAGCUACAACUUUACAGUUAAGAGACGGACCAUAGCUGUGACAAGGGUUGUUUUUUCUGCAGUUCUGCCACCAUUUGUAGCAGCAGAAAACUAACCUGAUGCAAUCGAUGAAACAGCACAUGCUCCUCAACUAAUUCCAUUCUGCCAUAGAUGGAACCUGCAGCUCAGGGUCUUCAGCUGAGCCAAGUGCAUCUAUCUAGGAGACUGGCAUGCAGGAGAAAUCUAAGCGCACGAGUCAUAACUAAACCAGCCACAAUCACACCAAUCCAAUCCUUGGAUACUUGAUAGGACCAUUUUCUAUCUCUGUCUAAGAUUUCUCUUUGUUUUUUUUUACCUUAAAAACAUAUGUAGUUAUUCGACGUAUUCUUUCUCUUUCCACGCCACCAACACUAGCCCGGAUUUGAUUGACUACUUUUGAAGUGACCUUAAAGUGUUGUUAUUGUACUGAAUAUAUAUAUAUGCCUCUUUGUUACAAAAUAUAUAUAUAUAUAUA